rnacentral:misc_RNA from 1 species
GGGAGAGAAAGCCUCCGAACCGAUCAAUACUGUAUAGUACCGCAGUGGAAAGCCAUGUCUGCCAGAUGAACCCGAGUUGUUGUGGGAUUCACACUCAGACCACUUGCUCCGGGUACAACAACCUAGUGAUCAUGGCUUAGGACGGGAUGAACGAGCUCGGGAUGCACGACGACGUGGUUCUGGACCUGGAGGGAGAGGAGAGGAAGGUUAUCAGUGAGUUUUGUCAUCACUUGGAGAAAUCCAAGCAGCUUUUUAACGGGUUAAGAGACAUGCCGCAGUAUGGACAUAAACAGUGGCAGGGAUACUUUGGUCGAACCUUCGAUAUUUAUACUAAACUCUGGAAAUUCCAGCAGCAGCAUAGAGCUAUACUGGACAGGAAGUAUGGUCUGAAGAGGUGGCAGAUCGGAGAAAUAGCUUCCAAGAUAGGACAGCUUUAUUAUCACUACUAUUUGAGAACGAGUGAGACAAAUUAUCUGAAUGAAGCGUUCUCGUUCUACGCAGCUAUACGAGGGCGGGCAUAUUACUCUAGAACUACUAGGGAGGAAAGGUCCCAGCAUGAGAGAUCCGACUUGAUUGUGAAGAAGCUCCGGUACUAUGCCAGGUUUAUCGUUGUCUGCCUCCUACUUAAGAAGAUGAAACUAGUUCGGGACCUGGUUAGGGAGCUGAGUAAACAUAUAGAUGAGUACACUGCUACCUACGAGCCUGAUGAUCAGAUGGAAUGGUCUCUUGUCCUUGCAGAGAUAAGAUCCUUCAUAGAGGCGGACACGGUCGUAAACGUCUUGGACUCCGAUAGUAACAGCAUUGUUCUCAGCCACAGGUUGAACCCUCUAAUUACUCCUCCGGUGGAGAGAUCUCCGAUCAUGACCUUGUCUCUCCAGGAGGUGAUAAUAGUAGGUAACGUGACGGACCAGAUCAAGUUCUCCGAGCUGACCCUCGACAUGUUCCGUAUGCUGCAAACCCUGGAGCGGGAACCCCAGGAUGAGAUGGCUCAAGUUUAUGACUGUUCUCCUGCCCCAGGACGGAUACCAGUUGAGAACGGUAUGCUCACUAGACGAGAAAACCCACACAAGUACCUGCUCUACAAACCAACGUUGCCACAGCUCUUUGUGUUCUUAGCUUCAGGAUACAAAGAACUACCGCCGAACGGCGCCCUUCUUCUUUACAUCUCCGCCGACGGGUUUUUCCCCAUCCGCCCUCAACCAGAGGAGACGGGGUACGAUCUUGGCGGGGUCCUGAUGCUACCUAAACACGAUGUUGAACCACCCGGUAACAAGUCUAUGGGUCAUGUUAAGGAGCAUUGUUGCUUGUAUCCAGGGGAUCUUUUUCCGUUUACUCGACGUCCUACCUUUCUUAUUGUAGACUCAGAUAACAGUUUAGCCUUCUCCAGUAUACCACACCACUUUGAUAUGCCUCUAGUUGUUCUAAUGUCUCCGCAGAGCGUUCCUUCAACCUUUCAAGAUCAUGCACACAAGGGAAGUUUGUUCACUCUCUUCCUUCACUCUCCUCUCUCUGCGUUCUGUUUUGUGACAAAUAUAGUGGAUAUCCCGCUAAACCUCUGGGAUAAGUGUCUUGCUUAUAUAGAUAGAUUUAUUAGUGAAGCCUCCAGGCUUAUAUCCCGCUGUAGAGGAGUAGACCCUUCCUACCUCAACUUCUUAGGAGAUGAUUUCCUACGCUUAUUAAUGUGUCGCUAUAUAUUCUGUGAUGUAGUUCUUAGAAUCCAUAGAUCAUUCAAGGGUUCCCAGUUUUAUCCUAAAACUCAUCCUGCUCUACCUGAUCUAGACAUACUGGAGAACCCAACCUUACAGCGAUAUGUUCUGGACUUGGCAUCUCAGUUGGAUGUUAGACCAGUUUUCUUUCAAUGCGGAGAAAUAGAUUAGAUUCCCUGUACUCAUUCUUCCUCGCAACAUAUAUGUACAGUGUACACUACAAUGCACACAGCUAAUAUAACUACACUUACUGUACAGCGUACAAUGAAAGUGUACAGUUUAAACUAUACAAUCUACAAUGCAAAUUGUAUACUGCAUACAAUGUACACUGAACAGUACAGUAUAAUGAAUACAGUUCAUACAGUAAAAUCGUGCAAAAAAAACUACAUGUAGAACAAUUGCAAGUAUGCGUAAAGUAUACAAAGUACAGAACUGGAGCUGUUUAUUUGUUUUAAAUAGUCAAAUGGCGAAAUAUUAAGUUGUAUAUUUUUAUUCUGUGUAAUAUCAAAUACGUAAAAUCACAAAUUGCAAAUAUUCUACAAAUUUUCUUCAAUUCGCAAAAAUUUUUAAGCUUUAACUCUGUUUUUGGGUGUUUUAUCAUCAUAUUAUUGGAGAAGAUUCUUUUUCAAUGUUCUUAAAAACAAAAUAUGUUAGAACUAAAAUAUUACUUUUGUUUUUACCCUGAAUCCGGUUUUCCUUUCGAACAAAAUAGAAAUGAUUCAAUUUUCUUCGGAACUUUCAACCUAAUUAUAUACUUUUCCCACCAACUCUGACCAUCAGCAACUUUU